rnacentral:rRNA from 1 species
CACCCAACAGCUAGCCCCUCCCCCAAAACCAAUGAAACAACAUAAAUAACCCCCAAAACACAACAACAAAUCAAACAAACCAUUUUUCCUCCCUAGUAUGGGCGACAGAAAAG